GAUGAACGCUGGCGGCAUGCCUAAUACAUGCAAGUCGAGCGAACAGACGAGGACUUUGCUCCUAUGACGUAAGCGGAGGAGGGGAGGGUAACAUGGGGAUAACCUCACUAUAAGCAUGGGAUACAUUCGGGAAAACAGUGCUAAUACCGGCUAAUAUAUUGAAAAGGAUGGGGACCUAGUGAAAGAAGGUUUUGGUGUCGGUUAUAGCCGGCUCCGUGACGAAUUAGGUAGUUGGCUAGGUAACGGCUUACCAAGGCGACGAUGAGUAGCCGGCCUGAGAGGGCGACCAGCCACACUGGAACUGAGACACGGCCCAGACUCCUACGGGAGGCAGCAGUAGGGAAUCUUCCGCAAUGGGCGAAAGCCUGACCCAGCAACGCCGCGUGAGUGAUGAAGGACUUCGGAUCGUAAAGCUCUGUUAUUAGGAAAGAACAAAUGUGUAAUUAACUAGGCACGUCUUGACGGUACCGAAUCAGAAAGCCACGGCUAACUACGUG
rnacentral:rRNA from 1 species